rnacentral:rRNA from 1 species
AUUGAACGCUGGCGGCAUGCUUUACACAUGCAAGUCGAACGGUAACAGGCCGCAAGGUGCUGACGAGUGGCGAACGGGUGAGUAAUGCAUCGGAACGUGCCCAGUCGUGGGGGAUAACGCAGCGAAGGCUGCGCUAAUACCGCAUACGAUCUAUGGAUGAAAGCGGGGGACCGUAAGGCCUCGCGCGAUUGGAGCGGCCGAUGUCAGAUUAGGUAGUUGGUGGGGUAAAGGCUCACCAAGCCAACGAUCUGUAGCUGGUCUGAGAGGACGACCAGCCACACUGGGACUGAGACACGGCCCAGACUCCUACGGGAGGCAGCAGUGGGGAAUUUUGGACAAUGGGCGCAAGCCUGAUCCAGCAAUGCCGCGUGCAGGAAGAAGGCCUUCGGGUUGUAAACUGCUUUUGUACGGAACGAAACGGUCCUGGUUAAUACCUGGGGCUAAUGACGGUACCGUAAGAAUAAGCACCGGCUAACUACGUGCCAGCCGCCGCGGUAACAC